CCCUUAGAUGUCCGGGGCUGCACGCGCGCUGCACUGAAGGAAUCAGCGUGCUAAAACCAUUGUCGAAAGGCAUUGGUAAACCCAUUAAAAUCCUACGUGAUUGGGAUCGGGAAUUGCAAUUAUUUCCCUUGAACGAGGAAUUCCCAGUAAGUGUGGGUCAUAAGCUCGCGUUGAUUACGUCCCUGCCCUUUGUACACACCGCCCGUCGCUGCCCGGGACUGAGCCGUUUCGAGAAAAGCGGGGACUGCUGCUGUCGGGGCUUUCGGGCCUUGGCUUCGGUGGAAACCGCUUUAAUCGCAGUGGCUUGAACCGGGCAAAANUCGUANCA
rnacentral:rRNA from 1 species